UACGAAGGGGACUAGCGUUGUUCGGAAUUACUGGGCGUAAAGCGCACGUAGGCGGAUUUGUAAGUCAGGGGUGAAAUCCCGGGGCUCAACCUCGGAACUGCCUUUGAUACUGCAAAUCUCGAGUCCGAUAGAGGUGGGUGGAAUUCCUAGUGUAGAGGUGAAAUUCGUAGAUAUUAGGAAGAACACCGGUGGCGAAGGCGGCCCACUGGAUCGGUACUGACGCUGAGGUGCGAAAGCGUGGGGAGGCAAACAGG
rnacentral:rRNA from 1 species